ACGGAAGGCAGCAGUGAGGAAUAUUGGUCAAUGGACGGAAGUCUGAACCAGCCAAGUCGCGUGAAGGAUGAAGGUAUUAUGUAUUGUAAACUUCUUUAGCAGUGGAGUAAUAAGGGGAUCGCGAUCCCUGAUGCAAGUACACUGAGAAUAAGGAUCGGCUAACUCCGUGCCAGCAGCCGCGGUAAUACGGAGGAUCCGAGCGCUAUCCGGAUUUAUUGGGUUUAAAGGGUGCGCAGGCGGCUUUUUAAGUCAGUGGUUAAAUCGUGACGCUCAACGUCAUCACGCCAUUGAUACUGGAGAGCUUGAUUGCGGUCGAGGUUUGCGGAAUUCGUUGUGUAGCGGUGAAAUACAUAGAUAUGACGAAGAACACCGAUUGCGUAGGCAGCAGACCAGGCCGUAAAUGACGCUCAUGCACGAAAGUGCGGGGAUCGAACAGGAUUAGAUACCCUGGUA
rnacentral:rRNA from 1 species